AUGGCAAAGUUACACCCCAUGUUGCGCUCGCAGCUUUACGCGUCUUCUUCUGUCACGCGCACAGAUUCGAACACCCAGAUGCCUGCCCCCCUUGACACAUCUUUCUGUGUUGUAUUCGUGGUAGUGGAUGCAACCGAUCAGUGGAACAUGUACCUCUCUCCCCAGAAGCAAGCAAUACCAGCAUUUGUGCUUUCCGCUUUCCUCAAAGGCAAGCAAGCAGCAAGGAAGCAAUGCUUCUUCUGCUUGCUUCUUUCUUGCCCACACCAUUUCCUUCUCUGCAUUCUCGAGGAGCCCUGUCCUUGUGCACUUGUGCUUCUCGGUGCUCAUACUCGAGUCCUGUCCUUGUGCACUAGUGCUUGUCCGUGCUCCUGCGAGCCGCCUGCCCUUGGCGUUCCAAUGGCGGAGCUCGUGGCCACCAUGGUGGUCGGGCCACUGCUGUCCAUCGUCAAGGAGAAGGCGUCCAGCUACCUCCUCGACCAGUACAAGGUGAUGAAAGGCAUGGAGGAGCAACAUGAGAUCCUAAUGCGCAAGCUGCCGGCCAUCCUGGACAUCAUCACCGACGCCGAGGAGGCGGCAGCCCACAGAGAAGGGGCAGCAGCCUGGCUCCAGGCCGUCAAGAAGGUCGCUUACGAGGCGAAUGAAGUCUUCGAUGAGUUCAAGUAUGAGGCACUUCGUCGCAAGGCCAAAAAGCAAGGACACUACAAGGAGCUUGGCUUCAAUGUGGUAAAACUCUUUCCCACUCACAACCGGUUUGUAUUCCGUAAAAGGAUGGGGAAAAAGCUCUGCAAGAUUGUGCAGGCCAUCGAGGUCCUUGUGACCGAAAUGAACGCCUUUGGCUUUAAGUAUCAGCAACAGCCGCCGGUAUCCAGUCAGUUGCGACGAACAGAUCAUUCUACUACUGACCAAGAGGAAGUCAAGGAAAUCAUCAAUGAAUCCAGAGCCAAUGAUAAGAGUGAAAUUGUUAGUACACUAGUUGGGCAAGCUAACAAUGCAGAUCUUACGGUUGUUCCCAUCGUUGGAAUGGGCGGCCAGGGCAAGACCACCUUAGCUCAACUUGUUUACAAUGAACCUGCAAUUGAGAAGCAUUUCAAUUUGCUGCUAUGGGUAUGUGUCUCUGACUGCUUUGAUGUGGAUUCUCUGGCUAAAAGUAUAGUUGAAGCAGCUCCCAAGAAGAAGGAUCCUGGUACAGAAGCAGCUGCUUCCAAGAAGAAGACACCACUGGAUUGCCUUCAGGAUGUAGUGAGCGGGCAAAGAUACCUCCUUGUAUUGGAUGAUGUGUGGGCACGACAGGUUCAGAUUUGGAGACAGCUCAAGGCCCGCCUUCAACAUGGUGGCAUCGGUAGUGCGGUGUUGACAACAACUCGUGAUGGUGGAGUGGCUGAAAUAAUGGGUACUGUUAAAGCUCAUGAUCUCGUAGCUUUGGAAGAUAAAUUCAUAAAGAAAAUCAUCAAGACAACAGCAUUCAGUCGUUUCAAGAAGGCAGAGGAAAGGCCCACCGAGUUGGUGGGUAUGGUUGAUAAGAUUGUGGAGAGAUGUGCUGGCUCUCCUUUAGCUGCAACAGCACUAGGCUCUCUACUGUGUACCAAGACCAGUAAGGAAGAAUGGGAGGCUAUAUCAAUUAGAAGCAACGUUUGCACUGAGGAGACAGGAAUCUUACCAAUACUCAAGCUCAGUUACAAUGACUUGCCGUCGCAUAUGAAGCAAUGCUUUGCUUUUUGUGCUGUAUUUCCCAAAGAUUACGAGAUUGAUGUGGACAAGCUGAUCCAACUAUGGAUUGCACAUGGCUUCAUCCAGGAAAAGCAAGUUCGUCUUGAAACCGUGGGCAAACAAAUUUUCCAUGAGCUGUCCUCAAGGUCAUUCUUCCAGGAUGUGAAACAAAUCCAAGCCACGGUUGAGGAAAUUGUAUACGAUGGCUCGUGUUAUUCCAGAACUACAUGUAGAAUUCACGAUCUUAUGCAUGAUGUUGCACUUUCUGUAAUGGAAAAGGUAUGUGCCUUGGCAACUAUGGAACCAGCCAAGAUUGAAUCUGUUGUCACAACUGAGGAAUCAAGUCAGAGUGAGUGGCUUCCAAACACAGCUCGGCAUUUAUUUUUGUCAUGCAGGGACCCAGCAAAAAAAUUGAAUAGUUCUCUGAAGAACAGCUCUCCAGCCAUCCAAACACUUUUAUGUGAUACCUAUAUGAGUAGUUCACUGCAACAUCUAUCAAAAUACACCUCUUUGCAAGCGUUGCAGCUCUGUUCACAGAGAAGAUCAUUUCAGUUGAAACCAAAGCAUCUGCAUCACCUGAGGUACCUAGAUCUCUCAAGAAGUAGAUAUAUCAAAGCACUUCCUGAAGAUGUGAGCAUUCUAUACAACCUUCAAACGCUGAACCUCUCUGGCUGUGAAUCUCUUUGUAGACUUCCAAGACAAAUGAAGUAUAUGACUUCCCUUCAUCACCUUUACACUCAUGGUUGUCCACAGCUUAAGUGCAUGCCCACAGACCUCAGGAAACUCACAUCCCUUCAGACACUUACAUGCUUUGUAGCAGGCAGUGACCCUAAUUGUAGUAAGGUUGGAGAGCUUGGAAAUUUAAACCUUGGUGGUCAACUAAAGCUACGUAAUCUGGCAAACGUGACAGAAGUGGAUGCAAAAGCAGCAAACCUUGUGAACAAGGAGAUAAGAGAAUUGAGAUUAACAUGGAAUUUUAGAUGGGAUUAUUAUGAAACUAGCUGGCGGGAUAAUGAAGAGCAUGCAAAAGUGCUCGAGAAUCUUAAACCUCAUGAUGGACUACAUGCCAUAGGGAUACAGUCAUAUGGAGCCACCACCUUCCCAACAUGGAUGACUAUGUUGCAAAACAUUGUUGAGAUCCAUCUUUUCAACUGUAGAAAACUAGUAUGGUUGUUCAGUGGUGAGUGUGAUACAUCGUUUGCAUUUCCAAAUCUGAAGGAGCUUAUGCUAAAAGGUCUUGUUUGUUUGGAGAAAUGGUGGGAAAUAGAUAAUGAUGGGAUGCAAGGAGAGGCGAUGAUGUUUCCUCUACUUGAGAACCUGCAUAUUAGCGACUGUGUAAAGUUGAAAGCAUUGCCAGGACAUCCGACCUUCCCUAAGCUACAGAAUGUUUGUAUUAAGAAAUGUCCAGGGUUGGCAACUACAGCUAAAUCACCAAAGCUCAGUGUAUUGAAGAUGGAAGGACGCGAGGUAGAGUUGUUCUUGUGGGUAGCGAGACAUAUGACUUCAUUGAGCAAUCUGGAACUGACUACCAUUGAACAGAGUACAGAUACAACCUCGAUGGGGGCUGAGAAUAGUUUGAGGGAAAUGGUGAACGUCAAGGAGAAUGGGAAUGAUCAAGACUUUCCUCUAGAAGUCUUGGUGUUAAAAGACACUGAGUCAGUUGUAAGUAUAACAGAGCUGUGUGCAUGUUUUGUACACCUUCAAGAUUUGUCAAUUUGGAGCUGUGAUGUGCUCGUCCACUGGCCAGAAACAUUGUUCGAAGGACUGGUAUACUUGAGGAAGCUUCUGAUUAGGCACUGCAAUAAUUUGACUGGAUAUGCACAAGCUUCUGUUGAGCCAUCAACAUCACCAGAAACCAGACAGCUCCUGCCACGUCUAGAGUCUUUAACGAUACGGAGCUGUGAAAGCUUGGUUGAGCUCUUCAACGUCCCUGCAUCUCUCAGGACAAUAGACAUUUCUAAUUGCAGUAAGCUUGAGUCCACAUUCGGCAGGAAGCAGCAGCAGGGAGAGUCAGUAUCAUCGAUUCAUCAAGGGUCAUGCAGUAUAGAAAGAUUAACAUUAUACAGCUGUAAUGGCUUAACAGGGGUCCUCCAUCUUCCCCAGUCCCUCAAGAGACUAGACAUUGACAACUGUGGUGGGUUGACAUCUCUGGAAUCCUGCUCUCCCGAGCUCCCGUCGUUGGAGUACCUCGAGCUUUGGGAAUGCAAGACCCUGUCAUCCCUACCGGAUGGGCCGCAAGCAUACUCAUCUCUCCAACAUCUUCGCAUUAGAUACUGCCCUGGUAUGAAGACGCUCCCUGCAAGCCUGCAGCAACGCCUGGGCAGCAUCGAGGAGGAAUACGUAGAUGCCCGUCUUUAUGGAUAUAAGCCAAGGCCUAUGCUGCUGAAGCCGAAGACAUGGAAGUAUGUCUGCAAAGGUUGA
rnacentral:rRNA from 1 species